GGAUAAUGCUAGUGCUUUUAAUACCACAGGUGUUUCAUCAGUACAGACGCCUCACCUUCCCACGCACGCAGACUCGCAGACGCCCUCUGCUGGAACUGACACGCAGACAUUCAGCGGCUCCGCCGCCAAUGCAAAACUCAACCCUACCCCAGGCAGCAAUGCUAUCUCAGGUUUGCGGGUCCUUCAGACUUGUGCAAAUAUGAAAAGUACAUGACGACUACCUGUAUUUAAGAAUGGUGUGAGGAAAUCUAACCACUUAUUCAACGUGCAGCUAUUGCUAGUUGAUGAAUUUGGAAUUUCAGUCACUCUUAGGAAUAUGAAACAACAGAACAAAUGUCCUUUUAAUAGAGAUGAAAUAAUAGUGAGAAUUGUGAGACUACAGCAAAAAUCUGCUCAGGAGGAAGCAUUAUUCAGGAUAGUCUAUUUUUUAUAUAUUUUAGGCAAUUAUCAUUCUACAGGGAAAACUUUUUGUUAGAAGUAAGAAAUAAUAUGCAUAAAUCUUUACUUAAAGACUUUGUACCAACAAACAAAAGGGUAAAGAGUGAUUCCUAUUAUCAAUGAAGGGCAGUGAGAAAUUGUAACCACAAUGAAACUGUUAUUUAAAUAAUGAG
rnacentral:sRNA from 1 species